GGUUCCGUAGUGUAGUGGUUAUCACGUUCGCGUAACGCGAAAAAGGUCUCCGGGUUUGAUCCCGGACGGAAUCA